GACAGUUUUGCCCUGAGUAGACCUUGGAGUCGGGUUGUUUGUGAAUGCAGCCCAAAGUGGGUGGUAAACUCCAUCCAAGGCUAAAUACUAGCACGAGUCCGAUAGCGAACAAGUACCGUGAGGGAAAGUUGAAAAGUACUUUGAAGAGAGAGUAAACAGUGCGUGAAACCGCUCAGAGGUAAACGGGUGGAGUUGAACUGUAAGCUCCGGGGAUUCAGCUGGUGAGUGUGUCAUGGGCUUGGUCAUUUUCGGCCGGCCUCUAGAGUCCGCUUAGCUGCGGGUCCUUGCUUCUUCGGGAGUAGGGAUGUGCGUUGCGCUUGUCAAGUGCUGUGCGCUCUGGAGGUUGCCGGGCUGGCUCGCCGGUGCACUUUCUCGGAGUGGUCACCACGACCGGCGUUGUUGUCUUACUGCUGUAGUCAAACCGGUCAGGUUUGGUCCUUGUGGCUGAGCUUGAUCGGGAUGGCAGGUAACUCAUUGGUUGGCUUGUCCAGUCUUUGGGUGUAAUCAGCUGACUGCAGUGGUUCUGUGCAAUACGUCGGAGACGGCGGCUCGAGGUAUUUGCUUAUGUGCCGUUGGCUGGCAGUGUCGGGUUUGACUAGCGUGUUUACCUGCUUCGGUGGGUCCGUUGGUAGCCCGGUGCUGUUCGGUUGGCGGUUGCGUUUGUGAUACCGCUCAUGGGCCCAUAGUCUGUGGUGUAGCAGCAAACGAUCCACCUGACCCGUCUUGAAACACGGACCAAGGAGUUUAACAUGUGCGCGAGUCAUUGGGCGUUACGAAACCCAAAGGCGCAGUGAAAGUAAAGGUUCGGCUUGUCCGAGCUGUGGUGAGAUCCUGUGGCUUCUCGUGCGAGGUACCACCAAGCAUUUGAGCUAUAGGCGCAUCACCAGCCCGUCUCAUGGUGUAGUCAUGUAACCUCGUGUUGUGUGCAUCACCGGGGCGGAGCCUGAGCGCACAUGUUGAGACCCGAAAGAUGGU
rnacentral:rRNA from 1 species